AAAAUAAUACGUUGAAGCCCCUACAGAAUACGACAUAUUAUAUGUGGUUUAAAUGAAAAAAAAAUCGACAUAUUAUAUGUGGUUUAAAAGAAAAAAGAAAAAAAAUAAAAAGGGGUUAAUUUUUUGCUUCUGACUGACAAAUAAUACAUUGAAGCCCCUAUAGAAUUCAACGUACUAUUGGUGGUUUAAAAGAAAAAAGAUAAUGACGCGCUGC
rnacentral:lncRNA from 1 species